rnacentral:rRNA from 1 species
UACAGAGGUCUCAAGCGUUGUUCGGAUUCAUUGGGCGUAAAGGGUGCGUAGGCGGCGCGGUAAGUCGGGUGUGAAAUUUCGGAGCUUAACUCCGAAACUGCAUUCGAUACUGCCGUGCUUGAGGACUGGAGAGGAGACUGGAAUUUACGGUGUAGUGGUGAAAUGCGUAGAUAUCGUAAGGAAGACCAGUGGCGAAGGCGGGUCUCUGGACAGUUCCUGACGCUGAGGCACGAAGGUCAGGGGAGCAAACGGG